rnacentral:lncRNA from 1 species
AUACACUUAAUUAUACCUUUUAAUUGGAGCUUUUGGUGUGUUUUUACGAUAAUUGGUGCUUAAUUUGGUUAUUAUUUGUAUUUUAGGUGCAAAUUGAAGAAUUGACAACUUUUGGGGUGAAAACUGCAAAUUCAGAGAAAAAGUGGGCCAAAAGUGAAAAAAGCAGAUUUCUGAAGAAUUAAAAGACCGCACGGCCGUGCGGAUUUUAGUUCAAAAUCUCACACGGCCGUGUGAGUGGACGUGAUGGCGCAGUGAAGGGAACUCAAUUAUACAAGGAAACCCGCCCUAUUAGAUUUUUGCACCAUAUUUAAAGGCCACAAGCACACAAUUAGACC